rnacentral:tRNA from 1 species
AUCAGUGUGGUGUAGUGGUUUGAGCGUUAGACUACAACUCUGAAGAUCAGGGUUCAAAUCCCUACUCAAUCAUA